CCUACGGGGGGCUGCAGUGGGGAAUAUUGGACAAUGGGCGAAAGCCUGAUCCAGCCAUGCCGCGUGUGUGAAGAAGGCCUUCGGGUUGUAAAGCACUUUCAGUGGGGAAGAAAGCCUUGGGGCUAAUACCCUCGAGGAAGGACAUCACCCACAGAAGAAGCACCGGCUAACUCCGUGCCAGCAGCCGCGGUAAUACGGAGGGUGCGAGCGUUAAUCGGAAUUACUGGGCGUAAAGCGCGCGUAGGCGGUCUGAUAAGCCGGUUGUGAAAGCCCCGGGCUCAACCUGGGAACGGCAUCCGGAACUGUCAGGCUAGAGUGCAGGAGAGGAAGGUAGAAUUCCCGGUGUAGCGGUGAAAUGCGUAGAGAUCGGGAGGAAUACCAGUGGCGAAGGCGGCCUUCUGGACUGACACUGACGCUGAGGUGCGAAAGCGUGGGUAGCAAACAGGAUUAGAUCCCCGAGUAGUC
rnacentral:rRNA from 1 species